AUCGCUUCUUGGCCUUUUGGCCAAGAUCAAGUGAAUCUAAGCAUCCAAUAAAUUUUGUGUGUUCUUUUUUCUAGGGGGAAAAAAAACUGUAUCCACUAUACACUAGGUUUUUUUUUUUUUUCCAGUGCUGAGGAUUAAACCCAAGGCCU
rnacentral:snRNA from 1 species